rnacentral:rRNA from 1 species
CAUGUCCUUUUGAUUAUUAUUUAAGGUCUGAUCUGCUCAAUGAGGAAUUAAAUUGCCGCGGUAUUUUGACCGUGCGAAGGUAGCAUAAUAAUUAGUUUUUUUAUUGGAAGCUGGAAUGAAUGAUUGGACGAGAGAGUGACUGUCUUCUGAUAAAUUUGUUUUUGAAUUUAACUUUUGAGUAAAAAGGCUCAAAUGAUGUUAAAAGACGAGAAGACCCUAUAGAGUUUAACAUUCUUUCCUGUGAUAGGUUUUUGGAAUUUGUUAUUUUCAUUUGAAUUGGGUGUUUAGUUGGGGUGACUGGAAGAUUUAGUAAACUCUUCUAAUUUAUUAUUACUGAUUGGUAAGUAUGAAUUCUGGAUUUUUCAAGUUUAAUGAAAAUUACCUUAGGGAUAACAGCGUAAUUUCUUUUUAGAGUUCUUAUUGGAAGAGAAGUUUGCGACCUCGAUGUUGGAUUAAAAUUAAUCCUCGGCGCAGUAGCUGAGUUAUUAGGUCUGUUCGACCUUUGAAAUUUUACAUGAUCUGAGU